GAUUGUUCACCCACCAAUAGGGAACGUGAGCUGGGUUUAGACUGUCAUGAGACAAAUAGUUUUACCCUACUGAUGACAGUGCCGCAAUGGUAAUUCAACCUAGUACGAGAGGAACCAUUGAUUCGCACAAUUGGUCAUUGCAUUUCAUUGAAAAGACAGUGGCGCGAAGCUACUGUACGCUGGAUUAUGACUGAACGCCUCGAAGUCAGAAUCCGGGCUAGAAGCGAUGCAUGUGCCUGCGGCCCAUUUGCCGACCCGCAGUAGGGGCCGUCUGACCCCCAAAGGCACGUGUCGUUGGUGAAGCCUGCACGGAGUACAAUUCCUAUCUCGAGCAACGGGUAGAAUCCUUUGCAGACGACUUAAAUACACAACGGGGUAUUGUAAGUGGCAGAGUGGCCUUGCUGCCAUGAUCCACUAAGAUUUAGCCUUGCGUCGCUCCGAUUCGUCCCUCCC
rnacentral:rRNA from 1 species